rnacentral:lncRNA from 1 species
AUCAGCCCCUUUUAAAAUAACCCUAGCCCCUUUUUAUUUCCCUAUGCUUUUCUCCUCUUUUGGCCGAUUCUCAUCUCCAGUCCCUUUGUUUCUCCCUCAAUCGUUCCCAAAAUCCCUUCAUUCAAACUCCAAUCAACCUCCAUGAGCAGCGAUCGGUUCAUUCAAGCCUUGAAGGGUGUUUUUUAGCCUCAAGAUCCCCUUAAACUUCACUUUCGACGAAGUAAGAAUGAACCGAUGGCCAAAUCACAAGGCAUUGUCCCCUUUCUCCUUUCCCUUUGCUUUUAAAUACAAUAACGAAAGAUUGAAAAAGAAAGUGAGAAGAUUCAACGGAAAACUAAAGCAACUAGAAAAUCGAAAAUCACCUUUAAAAAAUGCUUUUGAAUUUUUCUUUUCAAUAUGCUUUUUUCAGUGUGCCUCUAUUCCAUCCCAUUUUACAUUGUUUACAAAUGGCCUUUUAUAGUCGAAAAAUAAAAUAAAUAAAUAAAUAAAUAAUACAAAUUUCAUUGCUGUCAUUUUGUUGUUAUUUGCUGCUUUCCCCUUUUGUUUGUUAGUUUGUUGCAGGUGUGUAUGGCGUGGAGGAACGAAGAUCGUUACGUGAAGACUGGUUCUGUUGAGGCUGCGGCACGCGUGAGCUUGGUGGCUUAGGGUUUCUUGAGUAUUUUUUGUUUUGGGCUGGGAUUUGGGUUAGGGAUUUAUUUUAUUUUGGGCUAAUGAUUUGCUUGUAAGUGGGUUAGAUAAUUGGGUUUGUAAUAGGGACAUUGGACUUAAUUAUUUUAGUUUUAUUAUUUUAGUUUUUUUUUAGGUUUUGGUUUUGCUAUAAGCCCGGGCGAAAUAGGCAUGUUACAAUUGUGAUUAAAUUGUUUCAAGGUAUGGCUACUUUGUUACUUCACAUAAUCUUUUACAUGUUUAUUAAGUUGAAUUAAUCGGUUGAAUCGACAUAGGAAUAUGCGAGAGAUAAUUUAAUUCAAUAAGUAUGUAUGUGCGAUAGCAUGUUUACUUAAUUAAAUCUGUUUAGUCGGUUGAAUUGGC